rnacentral:tRNA from 2 species
GCCACCUUAGCUCAGAUGGUAGAGCAACUGAUUUGUAAUCAGUAGGUCGCCAGUUCGACUCUGGCAGGUGGCU